rnacentral:rRNA from 1 species
AGAACGAACGCUGGCGGCAUGCCUAACACAUGCAAGUCGAACGAGACCUUCGGGUCUAGUGGCGCACGGGUGCGUAACGCGUGGGAAUCUGCCCUUAGGUACGGAAUAACAGUGAGAAAUUACUGCUAAUACCGUAUGAUGUCUUCGGACCAAAGAUUUAUCGCCUAGGGAUGAGCCCGCGUUGGAUUAGCUAGUUGGUGGGGUAAAGGCCUACCAAGGCGACGAUCCAUAGCUGGUCUGAGAGGAUGAUCAGCCACACUGGGACUGAGACACGGCCCAGACUCCUACGGGAGGCAGCAGUGGGGAAUAUUGGACAAUGGGCGAAAGCCUGAUCCAGCAAUGCCGCGUGAGUGAAGAAGGCCUUAGGGUUGUAAAGCUCUUUUACCCGGGAAGAUAAUGACUGUACCGGGAGAAUAAGCCCCGGCUAACUCCGCGCCAGCAGCCGC